AUUGAACGCUGGCGGCAUGCCUUACACAUGCAAGUCGAACGGUAACGCGGGGCAACCUGGCGACGAGUGGCGAACGGGUGAGUAAUGUAUCGGAACGUGCCCAGUUGUGGGGGAUAACUGCUCGAAAGAGCAGCUAAUACCGCAUACGACCUGAGGGUGAAAGCGGGGGAUCGCAAGACCUCGUGCUAUUGGAGCGUCCGAUAUCAGAUUAGCUAGUUGGUGGGGUAAAGGCCUACCAAGGCAACGAUCUGUAGUUGGUCUGAGAGGACGACCAGCCACACUGGGACUGAGACGCGGCCCAGACUCCUACGGGAGGCAGCAGUGGGGAAUUUUGGACAAUGGGCGCAAGCCUGAUCCAGCAAUGCCGCGUGCAGGAAGAAGGCCUUCGGGUUGUAAACUGCUUUUGUCAGGGAAGAAAUCCCUUGGGAUAAUACCUCGGGGGGAUGACGGUACCUGAAGAAUAAGCACCGGCUAACUACGUGCCAGCCGCCGCCGUAAUAC
rnacentral:rRNA from 1 species